UACGAAGGGGGCUAGCGUGGCUCGGAAUCACUGGGCGUAAAGGGUGCGUAGGCGGGUUCUUAAGUCAGAGGUGAAAUCCUGGAGCUCAACUCCAGAACUGCCUUUGAUACUGAGAGUCUUGAGUACGGGAGAGGUGAGUGGAACUGCGAGUGUAGAGGUGAAAUUCGUAGAUAUUCGCAAGAACACCAGUGGCGAAGGCGGCUCAGUGGCCCGUUACUGACGCUGAGGCACGAAAGCGUGGGGAGCAAACAGG
rnacentral:rRNA from 1 species